AGGACGAACGCUGGCGGCGUGCUUAACACAUGCAAGUCGAGCGGAAAGGCCCUUCGGGGUACUCGAGCGGCGAACGGGUGAGUAACACGUGAGUAAUCUGCCCCUAGCUCUGGGAUAGCUCCGGGAAACCGGGAUUAAUACCAGAUACGACCACUUUAGACAUCUUCUGUGGUGGAAAGAACUUCGGCUAGGGAUGAACUCGCGGCCUAUCAGCUUGUUGGUGAGGUAACGGCUCACCAAGGCGACGACGGGUAGCCGGCCUGAGAGGGCGACCGGCCACACUGGGACUGAGACACGGCCCAGACUCCUACGGGAGGCAGCAGUGGGGAAUAUUGCGCAAUGGGCGAAAGCCUGACGCAGCGACGCCGCGUGGGGGAUGAAGGCCUUCGGGUUGUAACCCCUUUCAGCAGGACGAAGCGAAAGUGACGGUACCUGCAGAAGAAGCGCCGGCUAACUACGUCGCCAGCAGCCGC
rnacentral:rRNA from 1 species